GUGUAUAAGAGACAGCUACAUGGAUAACUGUAGUAACCUAGAGCUAAUACAUGCAAAACAAUUCAACUUUUUGGAAGAAUUGGCACUUAUUAGAUAUCAAACCAAUAUAUUUUCGGAUAUUUUUAUGGUGAGUCAUAAUAACUGAACAGAUCGCAUGACCUCGUGUCGGCGACGUUUCAUUCAAAUUUCUGCCCUAUCAACUAGAUGUUAGUAUAUUGGACUAACAUGGUGGUAACGGGUAACGGGGAAUUGGGGUUCGAUUCCGGAGAAGGAGCAUGAGAAACGGCUACUACUUCUAAGGAAAGCAGCAGGCGCGCAAAUUAUUCAAUGGAAACAAUUUUCCGAAAUAGUGACAAUUAAUAACAAUACGUUGCAUAAAUUGUGAUGUAAUUGGAAUGAGUACAGUUUAAAACCCUUAACGAGUAACAAUUAGAGGGCAAGUCUGGUGCCAGCAGCCGCGGUAAUUCCAGCUCUAAUAGUGUAUAUCUAUGUUGUUGCAGUUAAAAAGCUCGUAGUUGAAUUUCUGGUCUCGGACAUCGGUCUGCCUCGAACGAGGUACGUACCAGUUGUCUGAAUCCAUCCUCGGGGAAAACAUAUCUGUCAUUCAGUUGAUGGGUAUGGGAUCCUCGUCAUUUACUGUGAGCAAAAUAGAGUGUUCAAAGCAGGCUUAUGCCGUUGAAUACAUUAGCAUGGAAUAAUAAGAUAAGACCUUGGUCUAAUUUUGUUGGUUUGUACUCCAAGGUAAUGAUUAAUAGGGAUAGUUGGGGGUAUUCGUAUUCAAUUGUCAGAGGUGAAAUUCUUGGAUUUAUGGAAGACGAACUACUGCGAAAGCAUUUACCAAGGAUGUUUUCAUUAAUCAAGAACGAAAGUUAGGGGAUCGAAGAUGAUUAGAUACCAUCGUAGUCUUAACCAUAAACUAUGCCGACUAGGGAUUGGUGGACGUUUGUAACGACUCCAUCAGCACCUUAUGAGAAAUCAAAGUCUUUGGGUUCCGGGGGGAGUAUGGUCGCAAGGCUGAAACUUAAAGGAAUUGACGGAGGGGCACAACCAGGAGUGGAGCGUGCGGCUUAAUUUGACUCAACACGGGAAAACUUACCAGGUCCAGACAUUAGAAGGAUUGACAGAUUGAUAGCUCUUUCAUGAUUUAAUGGGUGGUGGUGCAUGGCCGUUCUUAGUUGGUGGAGUGAUUUGUCUGGUUAAUUCCGAUAACGAACGAGACCUUUACCAUACUAAAUAGUUUGAUUUAUUCUUAUUGAAUAGAUUUAUUUUUAAACUUC
rnacentral:rRNA from 1 species